UCGGGGUAAAAUAGUGAGUAGCCGAUUUGGGAAAGUGACCGACCCUUGGGAUAAGUUUAAAUCUGCAUUUUUAAACCCCAUAAACUUUUUAUCGUGGAUAAAAAGAAUCUUCUUGGGGUAAAAAAAACAGAUUUAAAUUUAGCCCAAGGGUUGAUGAUGUAUUUUCCCCAAGAAGGCUGCUCACUAUUUUACCCCAA
rfam:Medicago truncatula strain A17 chromosome 3, whole genome shotgun sequence.